UUGUACGUCUUAGUUAUAGCUAUAUGCCUGUACAUGACCCAUAUCAUGAAAUUAUUUGUUGUGUAGCUUGAAGAACUUCGGGCUGAUAUCGUGGACCUGAAGGAGAUGUACAGAGAACAAGUAAACACUCUUGUAAAUAAGCUCCAGGUGUUGAGUUCAUCAAUUGGUGCUGCUUAAAGGAGUGGUCAGUUCUUAAGGGUGCAAAAAUAUACUAUACAUUAUUACAGUAAAAUCAUUGUUUUACCCUUCUUUUUUCCCUUGAUGAAAGAUCUUGUAUUUUGAAUGAUUAGUAUUUUU
rnacentral:lncRNA from 1 species